rnacentral:rRNA from 1 species
GACGAACGCUGGCGGCGUGCCUAAUACAUGCAAGUCGAGCGAAGCGGCGGAUGGGUGAGUAACGCGUGGGUAACCUGCCCUUAAGUCUGGGAUACCAUUUGGAAACAGAUGCUAAUACCGGAUACUAAAGGAUGGACCUGCGAUGCAUUAGCUAGUUGGUAAGGUAACGGCUUACCAAGGCGAUGAUGCAUAGCAGAGUUGGUAGGAUGAUGGGCCACAUUGGGAAUGAGAAACGGCCCGAAUCCCGACGGGAGGCGGCAGUAGGGAAUCUUCCACAAUGGAGGAAAGUCUUAUGGAGCAAGGCCGCGUGAGGGAAGAAGGUUUUCGUAUCGGAAAGCUCUGUUGUUGGUGAAGCGGUAAUCAACCAUAAAGUCACGGCUAACUACGUGCCAGCAGCCGAGGUAAUUC